rnacentral:lncRNA from 1 species
UUUUGACUUUAAUUAGGAUUCAAUAACUCCUAUUUCGACUUUGAUUGACUUUGAUCACAACUCAAUAAACUCCUAAUGCAAUUUAACUACGAUUGUAUUUUGUCUACAAAAUUGCCAAUAUAACAUAAAUUCUAACAAUCUCCCCAUUUGGUAUUCUGUGACAAAACUAUACAAUGCAAGUCAAGGAAAUAAAAAUAAAAUCUAAUCUAUCCAAACCAAAAUUGAAUGUUUGUCUCUUACAUUCCUUAUUAACCUAUUUCCUGAAAUCGACAACUCACAUACCAAGUGUAAAAGAACAUUAUAAAGGAAAUAUAACAAUUGAAAUCUACAAUCAUAAAUAUGCUGGCUAGAUUGAGAAGUAAUACUAGUGUUAAUCAAAAUACCAAUUGAAACUUUAAUAUCACCAAACAUCAAAAUUCAAAGAACCUAUGCAUUAUGAUAUGGAAUGCCAUGAAUAAAAGAUACUAUCAUCUUUUCCCCUUACUGCAAACUCUCCCUAAAAUGCAUCUAACUCUUAACUCAAAAUUACGACCAAAUCUUUCUCGCCCUAUUUUGUCACAAAUGACUAAGGGAAUUAUAUUAAAUACACAUGAACAUCAAUAUAUAAUAACUCAAAGAUACAGUUGAUAGAAUGCACAAGCAUAGUUAAUGAUCAAUACAUUUUUCCACAUACUCAAUUCAAGUUAAAAUGGAGUAAAUUGGAUAAUUGACCCCAUCUAUGUAAAGUGUUACUAAUACUUUGUAAGCAGGACUUCAAACCUUAAUUUUGUGAGAAUAGACAUUCUAAACAUCUCUGUCAAUAAGCUUAUCCCUCUACUUAAGAAAGUUAAACCAAUAAUAGCAUAUUAUGCCCUAUAAAAAAAGCUCAUUUUGCAUGUAUAUUAUUCUUUUCUCCCCUCAACUUUGAGAAUAUAUAUAUAUAUAUAUAUAGACACACACAUACAUUUUCCAAAUUUUUAAGCUUAUCAUUUUUCUCAUCAAUUUUUCACAUCUUAUUUACAAGCUUUUCUCCAUUAAAUGACUGAAAUGACCCAUGUAACUAACUUUAGGCUAAUUAAUCUAAGUCAGUUGAUUAUAGGCACUAUGUUCUGAGAAACCCC